UCCGGUUGUCGGGCGCACACGCAUCCGAGCGCACACGUCUGUUUCGUAAACUUUUGCUCUGAGGACUUUUGCUUUGAGUGAGACACGCACAUAAACACCCUUGCAGUGCAAAAUAUAAGAGAACUCUCGGCCGCAGAGUCUUACGCCCGAAGAAGACUCCCACGGUCGGCGGACUGGACUGAUACCGGCGGAAACGGAAAUGGCUCCGCUCGCUUCUAUACCCUCCUGGUCAAAUAUGGGACAGCAGCCAGGGUCAAGGAGGAGACGAGGAGGAAGAAGAGGAGGGGACGGAGGAAGGAGAUGUGGACAUAGACCCUUGCCCUGCAGAUGGAACCGCUUUGACCGCAUGUACGCACUGAACCCGGGAAUUUGUCAAGAAGACUGAUGGUGUGUUCAAGGUGAAAACUGUCUCCGGAGUGUACGCUCAUCUUUCUGCCCCUCUGCGAUUCAACAAUCACCAGACGCCUUUAAACACCAACAGUGUUAUUUAAAACUAAUGAAGACCCAGCGUGGCUUAACUGUCCUCGAGCUGUAAUAAAGUACUCGGUAAACCUUUCUGAUAAGCAUCCUCUGUGCUGUGCAGGGCUAAAUGUUCAGAUUAACAGAAUGCAUAAACCCCUCCUGAUUAAUGUCAAAGGGAAUCCAUUAGACAACACAUUAACAGGAUGUUGUUGCUAUUGUUGGCAAAAAAAAAAGGGUUGUUUUUAUUUUUUUGUUACGUUUUCUGGGAACUUGUAAUUAUCCUCAAAGACGGCGUCUCUCUGCGUUUGUUUGUCUGCACGGAAGAAUAAACUAUACGACCG